rnacentral:lncRNA from 1 species
GGUUUAAUAGGUAUUUUCUUUUAUGGUUCAUAUUCCGGAUUGGGUUCAUCCCUGUAGUAAUCGACUGAAUUGAGUUGUCAACAUGAAAGCGUAAGAACUUAACGGGAUUCCCUUCUUUGUUUGUUUGAUUCGAAGGGGAAGGGCCCGUUGAGUUCUUAAGAAUCAUAAUAUUUUUUUCGUCUAAAUGCUAAAACGGAUUUCUUUUUCUUUUCAAAAACUCCGUUUUUCUCAUUUUUCUGAGCAUGUUUUUGAAAAAUUCACUUCAUUGAGUUAGUCAGACCACCUCUUCUUUUUAUAUGAUAGUAUCUAUCGGUACUUUCAAAGUUGGAAGAAAGAAGGAAGAACUCAAUUUCUUGGCUGCUAUCAUAUAUUAGAUAGCGUGCAAAUCCUUUCUAUACUAAUCUAAUGUAGAACCUUACUCUCUAUAUUACAUUACUCUAUUGAUUUUUUAUUGUUUUCCUAUUUCAUCAUCAAAUUUUUUAUAAGAUAAGUUGAUUGAAGAAGUUUUAUUUAAUUAAUAAAAUUUCCUCUCUUUUUGUUUUGUUUGUCCACCAAUUCAUAUAUUAUAUGUAAGGGGGUAGGUGUAGGGUUUCUGAUACAUCUGGAAAAAUUGAAACCAAGACUAGGAAUUUUUAACAAACAGGAUCAAGAAUCAUUACUCUUUCGUUUCGACACAAGAAAAAAGGAUUUUUCUACACCCCUUUCUUGUGUCGAAGACUAGGAAGACAAAUAAUCCCUCCUAGAAUUUUUUCUUCCCCGCAUUUAUCCCCCGCUUCCUUAUGUCUAGUAUUUAGACAAAUUUGACUUUCUUUCUAUUUAGAAUAGAAAACUAUUGAUACGUUUUAUGGCAGUGAAAUCUGGCAAUAGUAACAUAGUUACACUACUCCAAUUAAAAAAAAACUAAAUCAAAAUAAAUGAAAGCCAAAUACUCUUCUUCAAAAUCUACAUACUAUGUGGUACAAGGGAUUCCCAGCAUCUCGUAGAAAAAGAGUAUGUAAUGUAGAUUUUGAAGAAGAGUAUAAAUAAGACAAAGGAGUUUUCAUAAUUUCAUUUUUUUGAUCAUAAAUAAUCGCCAACAAGAAUUUGGUUCUUUUUACGUACUUGAUAUCGAUAAAUCUGCGAAUCUAGAAAUUCAUUUCGGCCAAUUGAACCUUCUCGAACUGUUUCUUUUUAAGAACCAAAAAGAUUUGUGCCAAAAUAACAGAUGCCAAGAAGAACAAAAGUCCUUGGACACGUAAUGGAUCUUGAAGUACUAUUUCUGCAUCUCCCUGACCAAAUCCGCCUACAUUAGGAUUACUCGUUAAUGGUUGAUCAAAUUUGAUAGAUUCGCCCUCGGAAACAAGAAGUUCUGGUCCGGGAGGGAUAAUAUCAACCACUUGACGUCCCUCCGACGCAUCCGUUAUGGUUAUCUCAUACCCCCCUUUUUCUUUUCGUAUGAUUUUGCUUACUAUACCUGCUGCUGUAGCAUUAUAAACUGUAUUGUUACUCUUGUUGCCGUCGGGAUAAAUCUGACCCCUUCCCCUGUUCCCGCCUACGUAUAUAGGAUAUUUUAAGAAGUGAACAUCCUUCUUAGUAGCAGGGUCCGGGGAAAGAAUAGGGAAGGUUAUUUCACUAUAUUUUUUACCAGGGACAGGGCCUACCACAAGAAUAUUUGUUUUAUUGGGGCGAUAGCUCUGAAAAGACAAAUUGCCAAUCUUUUCUUUCAUCUCAGGAGAAAUACGAUCGGGAGGAGCUAAUUCAAACCCCUCCGGUAAAAUAAGAACAGCUCCGACGUUCAACCCCCCUUUUUUACCAUUAGCAAGAACCUGUUUCAGUUGCAUAUCAUAAGGAAUUCGAACAACUGCUUCAAAUACAGUAUCAGGAAGUACCGCUUGUGGAACCUCAAUUUCCACGGGCUUAUUAGCUAAAUGGCAAUUGGCACAUACAAUACGCCCAGUCGCUUCUCGUGGAUUUUCAUAACCCUGCUGUGCAAAAAUGGGAUAUGCACUUGAAAUGGACGUCCGAGUUAAGAUAUAUAUCAUGAGCGAUACGGAAAUAGAUCGAGUAAUCUGUUUCUUUAGCCAAGAAAAAGCAUUUCUAGUUUGCAUGGUCCAAUCAUUGAUCGCGAAAAUUUCUACAAUAAAUUGGGUAGGUCGCUAGUAUAGUUCCCUAGCCACGAUUCUGCUAUUUGCUGGAAUAAUCUAGGAUGAAUCUUCCCGAUGGUUAGAAAUAGGAAGAGUAAAUAUGAUUUUCAAUACUUUGCUUAUGUACAACUACAAAGUACUAAGCAUUCUAAUUGGAUUAGAUUAAUAUCAAUGGAUCCUUUAUCAUUCAGUUAUUGAAUCAUAAAGCAGUAAAAUUGACGGAGACAGACUAGUUAAAUAACGGAAAAGCCAAUAUUUAAAACAUGUAUCAAAAAUUACUGGAAGGAUGCAAACAAGAAUAGUUAUAGUUUGCUCAUUCGCAACAACUCCAACCUCGUUAUAGAUAGAGCGUAUAACGAAUUCCCAACCUGGGGGUGAAUGAUAUCCGAGAAAAAACUCACUUACUAGAAGAAUACACAAAGCUUUUGCUGUGUCACUUAAGUUAUAUAGGAAUUCCUGAGCCCAAGAGUUAAGAAUAACAAGUUUUUCCUUACCCAAAAUUGAAUACCCGCUUAGAAUACCAAACCAGAUUAUAUUUGUUGAGAAGUGCAAAAUCGUAUCCAUACGAUUCUCAUUUUGUAUCGUGAUUAAUUGGAUCGUUUCUUUAUGGAUUCCUAUCCCAAACUCUUCGAGAUGUGUUUCCGAGUAUUCCUUGAUCAUUUCGUCCAAGAAGAGGAGUUCCUCUAAUUCUCUGAAUUUUUCUAGAAGACUCUUUUCUUGAAUAUUAUUCAAGACAAUUUGGGAUUGCCCAGUAUUCCACCAAUUAGUAACCCAAGAUUCCAGCCAUUUAUUAACUGAGAAAGAAAUCCACCAGGGCAAAAAUACUAUAGAUGCAAGAUAGAAAAGAGGAGUGAAUGCUUUCUUUUUUGCCAUUUUUUCGUCUGUAAAUUGUUAAUCAACCCAUUCGUACACUCUAUGCGAUCGAAUAUUUCUUACACACAUGAGUUUUAUACAAGGUAUCGAACUUAUGAAUCUAUUUUCUUUGUGAUUUUGUGGUUAGUCUUUGAAUCUAGAAAGAAUACAGAAAUAGGCUAAGAAUUCACUUCGAAUGAAGAAAUUGAGAAUAUUGUUUCCUGAUAUCUCAAUUGGUCAAAUUAAAAAUUAAGUGUAUCCUUUCGAUGAAUGACCGAAAGAACCACUUUAAGUAAUGAAUAUUAUUCAGAUUUUGAGACGAAAGAACUCCUUUGCUAUCAAAAUAUCCAAUAUUUCGAAAAAAUUUCAUUGAUUACCCAUAGUCAGGAAUAGAAUAAUUGAGGGAAAGAUAUUAGGAUGAUAAAAAAAAAUGACUAGCAAAGGAUAAAUUGGCUAGUUCUCAGUAUUUAAUUAAGAAAUCCAAUUGUUGGUCAUUAAAGAAUACAAAAGAAAGAAUUUCAAAUUUACAAGAUACGAUCUAUCUGGAUCUAAAGUGUCAAUUCCAACAAAUAUUGAACUAAAAAAAAUUCUUGCUUUCGAAAUGGUUUGCCGUCUGAGAUGAAUCUAUUAUUUCGAUUUGUUAUUUGUUAUUGAAUUGCGUGCACAUAAAGACCAUAAAAAGAGUUUCGUUUUAUGGUUCUUUCAUAUACGUUUUCUUUAAUUGAAUGAACGUUCUGAUUCUCAAUUUAUCAAAAUACUUCAAUUGGUACACGCAAGAAAUAGGCUAAUUCAGCAGCCUUUUGUUCAAUUUCUCGUGGAGUCAAAUUCUCAUCAGUACGGGUCAAGGGAAUGGACCCCUGGCCUCGGAUGUCCAUAUAAAGAACACGACGAGCAUAAAUACCCUCUUUAACUUCUAUUCUAACGGACUGAAUAUCUUUUAUAAGGAAUCGGAGGAAUAUGCGACGAUUUUUUCCCGGAAAUCCCCAACGAAAGAUACAGACUAUUCCCUCCUUUCUAUCGAAUCGAUCAUAACCACUACCUACAUUCCAGGAAAUUGUGCACCACAAAUAAGAGCUAAUAAAGAGACCCGCAAUUCCGUAGAAAGACAUCACGAUUCCUUGUGGAAAAAAAAUGAUUUGCUGAGGCGGAAAAAAAGAUAGCAAAUUUCUACCAAGAUAACUGGAAGUUCCAACUAAUAAGAAGCCUAAUGAACCUAAAAAAAGGAUCAAGGCCCAGCAGAAAUUACUUAUUUUUCGAGACCCCGUUAUAAGUUCUAUCCAUAUAUCGUCUGAUCGCCAAGUCAUACUUUACUCGAUUGCAUUUUAUUGGAAUUGAGAUAAUACCCCAGAAAAAUUUGACUUUACUUUUUUGUUUCCGAAGUAACUCUCAUCAACUAGCACUAGUUUGAGGUGAACUAGCACUAGUUUGAUGUCAACCUUUAGGAGUAAUUCAUCAAAUUGGUUAAAUCUAAAAUAAUAACAUACUCUUUAUUUAAUACGAUCCCACUAUACAUAUCGAUAUACAUAUAGAUUCACCGACUACAUUUCAGCCAUCCAGAGAUCCUGAUCUAUUUGAAAAUUGCUAGAAUUGAUAUAUCCAUAUAUCAUGUUUCUGCGGGCAUAAGAGUUUUUUCCUUUAUGUUCGGUGGAAAUCACAUGUUAUACUAUACUCCAAUAAAUAGAUAUCCGUGUUAUGAUACAAGUCCACGUUUUCAAAAAAAAAAAUGGAUGAGAUUGGGUCCCAGCGGAUCUAAACAAUCUUGUUUUUUUGAACAUGAAGAAAUAAAGAAGCCAUUGCAAUUGCCGGAAAGACUAGGCCUACUAACGGCACAAAAAUAGAUGGAAGGUUCAAAUUUGUCAUAGAAGGGGUACCUCGAUUUACUAUUUGUAUCUGUUAUUAUGUUAUUAUAUAAAUAAAGAUAUCUUGUAAUAAUUAUAAUUAAAUUAAGAAUUUGAAUUCUAAUUAGAUAUUAGAUAAUAUUUAUUAUUAAUAGAAUUUGAAGAAUUUGAAAUUCUUAGUAUAGAUCGAAGUAUCGAUAUAUCUAAAUCUAACUGAGUACGUAUAAUAAGAAUAAGUGCAAAGAAUGUAGAACUGUAGAACUAAAUAAAUGGACUUAUUCAUCUCCUCCAUGAGAAAGAUAUGUAUGAUAAUAAACUUUAUUAUUUUUCUUCAUUUCUUUGUCUUUUGUUCUUGUCUUCUACUUUUCUAAAAAUAGAUAAAGAGUUUUUUACAGAUUAUCGACGGAUUCAUUCGAAUCCGACCCAACAUGGAUUUUUAGCUAAAAUGGUUUUUCGGUAGAUAGAGAAAGAUACAAAACUCUAUUAUCUCUAUUGAAAUUUCAAAUUAUAUACCUAAGACAAGACCAAAUUCGUUUUAUUUUACUAAUUUCACGAAAGGAAGAACUCACUCUUGGUGAUAAAGGUUUCUUGAUUCGUAAUCAGGAAUAUAGGUCAAAAAAAGAGUUAUCCUCAACUUUCGUUUUAAUUCUUUCUACAAUUCGAUCUUCUAUCACCAAAGAAAAGGCCAUUAUUAUCUUAUUUACUUUGAUUCCGAUAAACUAACUACUUUUUGCUACAAACACAAAAAAAAUAAUUGAACUUAGUGCUCUACUUGAUUUUGCUUGACUUUUGAUUCAAAGGAAAAAAGGCGUGGAGCUUAAAUAACUCACUCAGAACGCUUUUUAAAAGAUUACGUGGUACAAUUAGGUCGAAUAAACCCUUCUGGAAUAAGUAUUCAGCUGCUUGUGAACCUUCGGGUACUGUUUUAUUCAAUGUUUGUUCAAUUACUCUUUUACCUGCAAAUGCAAUGUAGGCAUUGGGUUCGGCAAUAAUGAUAUCCCCCAACAUACCAAAACUAGCUGUCACUCCACCAGUUGUCGGAGAUGUAAGGAUUGAUACAUAAAAUAAUUUUUUAUUUAAUUGAUAAUCAUAUAAAGCAGACGAUAUUUUAGCCAUUUGCAUCAAGCUCAAACUUCCUUCCUGCAUGCGCGCCCCCCCAGAAGCACACACUAUCAUAAGAGGUAAAUUUUGAUUGGCAGCGUGUUCAAUCAAACGGGUGAUUUUCUCUCCGACUACGGAUCCCAUACUACCCCCCAUAAACUGAAAAUCCAUAACCCCAAUUGCUACGGGAAUGCCGUUUAGUUGGCCUAUGCCUGUUUGAACAGCCUCGGUUAAUCCUGUCUUUCUUUGAUAAGAAUCAAUACGGUCCUUAUAAGGCUCCUCCUCCGAAUGAAAUUCAAUGGGAUCCAGCGAGACCAUGUCUUCAUCCAUAGGAUCCCAAGUACCCGGAUCGAUCAAAAGUUCAAUUCUAUCCGAACUACUCAUUUUCAAAUGAUAUCCACAUUGUUCACAAAUAUUCAUUUUUGAUUUCAAAAAUUUCUUAUAAUUUAAUCCAUAACAAUUUUCGCAUUGAACCCACAAAUGCUUGUAUUUUUGAGUUACCUCGAGAUCAUUAGAACUUUCUCUUAUAGUUAAAUCACUGUCCUUUGUGCGAGUUCGUCUACUGGAACCCUCGUUUUCACUACUAUUUAGACUUUGACCACUACAAAUGGCCCUAUAAAUGUAACUGUCACCGUUACUCUCACUACCACUUAUAAUGGAAGUAUCUAUACAGAUUUGAGACUGAAGAUAAUUAUCAAUGCAACUAUUAAUGUGAUUAUUCCAACUAUAUUGAGUAUCAUACAUGUAAGAAUUAUAGUAGGGAUCUUCGCCCCUAAAUCCAUUAUUCAGAUAACUCGAGUUUCGAUAACUAUAAAAAGAACUUUCUAGUUCACUCAGAAAAGAAUGAUCGUUGUCAACCUCAAAAAUAUGAUUUUCAAUAUCAAAAUAGAUGGAAUAACUGUCCCCAUUCCUAUCACUAACUAAAAAAGUGUCAUUAGAGAUGAAAUUCCAAAUGUCUUUAACGCCGAAUAAAUAAUCAACAUUACUGCAACUAUGAAUGUUUUUCACUUUUAGAUUUGGAUCUUCACUGGUAUUUUCAAUAGGACCAAGACUGCCCAUUGAUUUAUUUAGCCCACACCUGCGUUCGAACUCCUUCUUAAACAACAUCGAAUUAAACCACCAUCUUUCCAUAGAGUUUUCUUGCCCCCUAUUUGCAUGAAAAUACAAUAGAUGAAUAGUCAUUCGCUAUAAAAUUCUUUAUUUGAAUAUCUUAUUUCCUAUCAGACUAAGCAUAGAAAUCCAAUCACUAGGAUUAUUAACUAAUACGGAUUGUGAGUAUUCAAAAAAAGUUCUGAAUCUGGGGGAACACUUCACUAUAUAUUAAUAUGUUGGAACCCCCUUUUAUUAUUAAAAAGAAUAUAAAAAUAAUAGAAUUUUUGAUAAAGGGCGGCUUCUCCUAUGUCGUGUCAAAUUCGCAUCGAAAAAAAGAGAUUUGUCCUCUCUUAUAAAUAUAAAGAAAUAAAAAAAAUUCGUAAAAUCUCGUCUAAUACUAAUAUCUAAUCACUAACUAAUCUAACAAUCUAAAAUCUAAUAAUAAGUAAUAAAUUAAGGUUCUAUUUCAACACGGAACAAAGGGGACAAUAUAC